rnacentral:rRNA from 1 species
GACGAACGCUGGCGGCGUGCUUAACACAUGCAAGUCGAACGGAAAGGCCCUGCUUUUGUGGGGUGCUCGAGUGGCGAACGGGUGAGUAACACGUGAGUAACCUGCCCUUGACUUUGGGAUAACUUCAGGAAACUGGGGCUAAUACCGGAUAGGAGCUCCUGCUGCAUGGUGGGGGUUGGAAAGUUUCGGCGGUUGGGGAUGGACUCGCGGCUUAUCAGCUUGUUGGUGGGGUAGUGGCUUACCAAGGCUUUGACGGGUAGCCGGCCUGAGAGGGUGACCGGCCACAUUGGGACUGAGAUACGGCCAAGAAUCCUACGGGAGGCAGCAGGGGGGAAUAAUGCACAAUGGGCGGAAGCCUGAUGCAGCAACGCCGCGUGCGGGAUGACGGCCUUCGGGUUGUAAACCGCUUUCGCCUGUGACGAAGCGUGAGUGACGGUAAUGGGUAAAGAAGCACCGGCUAACUACGUG